rnacentral:rRNA from 1 species
UACAGAGGGUGCAGGCGUUGUUCGGAAUUACUGGGCGUAAAGGGCGCGUAGGCGGCACGGCAAGUCGGGAGUGAAAGCCCGGGGCUCAACCCCGGAGGGUCUCUCGAAACUGCCGAGCUAGAGUGCGGAAGAGGCAAUCGGAAUUCCCAGUGUAGCGGUGAAAUGCGUAGAUAUUGGGAAGAACACCGGAGGCGAAGGCGGAUUGCUGGGCCGACACUGACGCUGAGGCGCGAAAGCCAGGGGAGCAAACGGG